rnacentral:rRNA from 1 species
GACGAACGCUGGCGGCGUGCUUAACACAUGCAAGUCGAACGGAAAGGCCCCUUUGGGGGUACUCGAGUGGCGCACGGGUGAGUAACACGUGAGUAACCUGCCCUUGACUUCGGGAUAACUUCAGGAAACUGGGGCUAAUACCGAAUAGGAAUCCUUGCUGCAUGGUGGGGGUUGGAAAGCUUCGGCGGUUUUGGAUGGACUCGCUGCUUAUCAGCUUGUUGGUGGGGUAGUGGCUUACCAAGGCUUUGACGGGUAGCCGGCCUGAGAGGGCGACCGGCCACAUUGGGACUGAGAUACGGCCCAGACUCCUACGGGAGGCAGCAGUGGGGAAUAUUGCACAAUGGGCGGAAGCCUGAUGCAGCAACGCCGCGUGCGGGAUGACGGCCUUCGGGUUGUAAACCGCUUUCAGCAGGGGCGAAGCUUUUGUGACGGUACCUGCAGAAGAAGCACCGGCUAACUACGUG